rnacentral:tRNA from 1 species
GGCCCCAUCGUCUAGUGGCCGAGGACAUCAGGUUCUCAACCUGAAAACAGGGGUUCGAUUCCCCUUGGGGCUA